UGAGGAAUAUUGGUCAAUGGGCGGGAGCCUGAACCAGCCAAGCCGCGUGAGGGAGGAAGGCCCUAUGGGUCGUAAACCUCUUUUGUCAGGGAACAAAAGCGAGUAUGUAUACUAGUCUGAGUGUACCUGAAGAAAAAGCAACGGCUAACUCCGUGCCAGCAGCCGCGGUAAUACGGAGGAUGCGAGCGUUAUCCGGAUUUAUUGGGUUUAAAGGGUGCGUAGGCGGCGGUGCAAGUCAGCGGUAAAAGCCCGGGGCUCAACCCCGGCGAGCCGUUGAAACUGCAGUGCUAGAGAAGGCGAGAGGUACGCGGAAUGCGCAGUGUAGCGGUGAAAUGCUUAGAUAUUGCGCAGAACUCCGAUUGCGAAGGCAGCGUACUGGCGCCUGACUGACGCUGAGGCACGAAAGCGUGGGGAUCGAACAGGAUUAGAUACCC
rnacentral:rRNA from 1 species